UUAGGGAAUUUUGACAAUGGGCGCAAGCCUGAUCGAGUGACGCCGCGUGCGGGAUGACGCCUCUCGGGGUGUAAACCGCUUUUCCCAGGGAAGAGUAAGGACGGUACCUGGGGAAUAAGCAUCGGCUAACUACGUGCCAGCAGCCGCGGUAAUACGUAGGAUGCGAGUGUUGUCCGGAAUUACUGGGCGUAAAGCGCGCGUAGGCGGGCGCCUGCGUCGGUGGUGAAAGCUCCCGGCUUAACCGGGAGAGGGCUGCCGAAACGGGGUGCCUGGAGGACAGGAGAGGCAGGCGGAACGCCCGAAGUAGCGGUGACAUGCGUUGAGAUCGGGCAGAACUCCAGCGGCGAAGGCGGCCUGCUAGACUGCUCCUGACGCUGAGGCGCGAAAGCCAGGGGAGCGAACGGAAUUAGAUACCCCCGUAGUCC
rnacentral:rRNA from 1 species